CAAAUGCUGUGGAAAUUGCUCCUGACAGUUAUUCAAUUAUUGUUGUGAUUCAACUCUCCACUCUGCUCAGGAUGGACACACAGUGUUCCUACCCAGCCUUCUGUGCCUAUGGCCCAAACCACCCAUGUGUGCCAGGGAGAAUAGAUUUCCUUCUACACAGAUGUGAGGACACAAGAGCAGAGAAAGCACCAGGCCUGCAGUGGUGGCAGAAAACAGGAGGACCAGAGAACAAAGGGCAAGCAGAGCAAGAUCCUGGUAAAUCUGUGCAACCCAUUUGGCAGAGGGAAGCUCAAAGUGGGAUAUCCCAACUGAAUGUAUGGAGGACUCUCGAGUCCUUGGUCUUCAACUGUACACUAAUCGGAGAUGGCACGUUUGGGCAGUGAGCUUGGGUGGAGAGCUUCACGUUCGUCUGUCGUGGUUGGCCUCUUCUGUACAGGAAGCAGAGCACGGAAGGCUGCCAUACUCAUCCUAUGACCCACUAUGGUGUCCGUGGCCCACGGCUGUGUGUGUAGCCCCAGCACUGCUCCAGGAGGGCGUGUUGUUCAGCAGUUUCAAUGGUAAAUCCCAUCCUUAAAGAAAGAUAACGGUCAUGAGUUUCCUUCUGUAGCCGCUCCAGUUGGCUACUGUCCCUGGAAUCCAUGUUGUCAUGGUGGGCUUUUCUUUUUCAACGGGGCGGGGCAUUCCAAGAGCUCAGAAUUAAGGUGCAUCACCAAGUUCCACAAAGCUGCCCUUGUUUUUUCUUUUUUACCUCUCCUAAGAAAUUAUUAUGGUUUGGGGACUCUCAAAAUUCCAAGGUUGAAAUCACAUGCAAGUCAAGUAGUCCUCUCUUAUCAUGCCACUGUCAAAACCAAAGAACAGGGCGAUGGUGAUGCAAUGGUUGCCUGGCCCUGGGAAGGGGCUCCACCUUCACUUAACUAAGCUCUUCAUUCCCCAGACUGUUUGGAAUUGCUCCCACUUACCCUGUCUCUUCCUACCUUCUCCCUAGUCUGUUUUCACCCUCCAUCCCCAAGUCCCUAAACUAGGCAAGGUGAGCAGCAGGGUCAGACCACACUAUGUGAGUGCAUAUUCCCUGUUGAUUUAUCUUUGGAAAGGACUCUUUCCCAACGUGAGGAAGGCAGUCCCAGUCCAUUACUGUUCCACUACUAAUGACUUUAAACUCAAGCUACACAGCAGCUGCUGAUGGGGUGGAGCAAUGACAGGAGAGAAAGAAGAAGCUCGGGAAGAUGCUUUACUCGCAUCAGCCCUCUGAUAAACGAGGUGUCUGCUAGUGUGUCCAGAAACUCAGGUCCCUUCCGUCUCCAGAGUCCAGGGCUUCAGCACACAAAAGGGGCAGCCACUGCUUCUCUUCAAACAGAGGACUUGUUGCACUUGGUGGCAAAGAGCCCACAAAUAACUGAGCUGUGCUUUGGAAAUGGAUCUGAUGAGCCUUUUAA